GAUGAACGCUAGCGGCAGGCCUAACACAUGCAAGUCGAGGGGGAGGUUACUUUCGGGUAACUGAGACCGGCGUACGGGUGCGUAACGCGUAUACAAUCUGCCUUUCACUGUGGGAUAGCCCGAAGAAAUUUGGAUUAAUACCCCAUAGUAUAGUAAUACGGCAUCGUGAUGCUAUUAAAGCUUAGGUGGUGAAAGAUGAGUAUGCGUUCUAUUAGCUAGUUGGAGAGGUAACGGCUCCCCAAGGCGAUGAUAGAUAGGGGUUCUGAGAGGGAUGUCCCCCACACUGGUAAUGAGAUACGGACCAGAAUCCUACGGGAGGCAGCAGUGAGGAAGAUUGGACAAUGGACGGAAGACUGAUCCAGCCAUGCCGCGUGCAGGAUGAAGGUCUUAUGGAUUGUAAACUGCUUUUGUAAGGGAAGAAUAAGGGCUACGCGUAGUUUGAUGACGGUACCUUACGAAUAAGCAUCGGCUAACUCCGUG
rnacentral:rRNA from 1 species